UUUGGUUUUCGUCUUUUCGGUUUUGUGUUUUGUAUUUCGUACAUUUUGGUGGCUGGGUGCUGGCGGCUGACGGCGGCGACGACGAACGAGGCUCAACGUUUUGGAAAAUUUAGCACAAGGUUGCCACAAAGCAGCAGAGCCAGCAAAAUGAGCAAUUGUGGCAACACAGUCGAAGUUGAAACUGAAAUUGAAAUUGAGAUUGAAGCUGCAAAACGCCAAUACACCAGAGUUGUUGCAUUCAAAUCGUUGUGGUUGUUGCCCAAAAUCGUAAAUAAAUAAAUACUUAAUUAUGUUGUUUUCGGCCGCACCGCUUUUGGUUCGCCAAAGAACUGCAAGUCGUGGCAGAGAAAAACACAUUGCGCAUACGCCAUGUUUAACACACGAUCGGCACUCGCGGCGUUGUUGCGAGGUGAGAAUCAAGACCUUUUCUCAGCCAGUCACUCAGGACAGGAGUCAAACACUUGUUGCCAAUUAAUCAGGCACCUGACUAGUUAAGCUAAGCCAAGACCUGUCGCAAACAUUGCGUAUACGACUGGAAGGCUAGAGGGAAAUGGUCAAGCGAGCAAUGACUUUAGAUUAAACAUGGGACUUAACCGCAUGAUUUACUUUCCAUUUUUCGUUUAGUGAAACUCUGAGGAAUACAGGACAUAAGCUGUGCCAAAGAAACGAUACAAACUAUGAGCUAAUUAUAUUGUUGAAAGCUGUAAUAAUGCGAUGCUAAACAGAUCUCUUAUGUACUUGUGCUUGCAAAACUUCCCCUAAUCUGGCAUCUAGAAUCCGAUGAGCAACACUUUGCUUGCGAAACGCCAUUGAAACGACUCAGCGGAGUGUGGUGCAAGCAUCCUCAAAGUUCCAUAGCCACCGACAGCUGCUUACGGCUUACUGAUGCUGCUACUGCUGCUGCUGCAACUCCACCUACAGAUACGGAUUUGUGGCAUUGAAAGGGCUGAGGAGAGGGGUAAGCAGCAGCAGCAGCAGCAGCAUCCGCUGUUACUUCAGAACAGAGAAUGCAAGAACAAAUGCGACGAGACGAUGAAGCCAACGACCGCAAACGUGCAGCGACAACAACAAAGGCAGCGCUCCAAAAAAUGCAGCAGACAAACAAACCACUCGACUGGGAUCGGAAUUCGCUUCCUCCCCCUCGCCAGCCCCAGCCCCCCGCCCCGUCCCUGCGACUGUCACGAACCGGAAGUAAAAACGUGCCAACAGAAGAUGCGAAUUGCUGCUGCUGCUGCGACUGCUACUGCUGCUGCUGCUGCUUCCACUGCUGCUGCGACUGCGAUGUUGCUGAUGCUGAGGCUGCGAUGUUGCUACUUUUGCCACUGCUGAUGUUGCUGCAUCUGCAUCUGCGGCGCUCGCGAAAUCAGGAAAGCAGCAGCAAGUGCCAGUCGCACAGUUCUCUGCAUUCUCGUCCAGCUUAAGGGAUGGGGUGCACUGAACAAAAUCACCUAGUAAAAGGAGUGGCUUUUAGGUAUUUAAUUAUCUAAAUUGCUAAGCAAAGAUGUUUCAAGUUAAAAUUAAUUAUUAUGUUGUUAAAUUAUUAAACUGACAAUAUUCUAAAA